rnacentral:rRNA from 1 species
CAGGCAGACGACCUGGUUGAUAGGUCACAGGUGUAAGUUCAGUAAUGGAUUCAGCCAAGUGAUACUAAUCGCUCGAUCGGCUUGACCAUAUUACA